rnacentral:rRNA from 1 species
UUUGCACACUAUAUUAGGUAAUGCCUGCCCAGUGACCAUAUGUUCAACGGCCGCGGUAUUCUGACCGCGCGAAGGUAGCGUAAUCACUUGUCUUCUAAAUAGAGACUAGUAUGAACGGCCACACGAAGACUUAACUGUCUCCCCUGUCCAAUCAGUGAAACUGAUCUCCUCGUGCAGAAGCGAGGAUAAACACAUAAGACGAGAAGACCCUAUGGAGCUUUAAACUUAAUAUCAACUACCCUCUUUUACCCCUCUAAGGAGCUGACAAGAUUACUAGACUCGAUAUAAGUUUUAGGUUGGGGCGACCAUGGAGAAAAAAACAACCUCCCUGAUGAUUUUUAAACCAAGAGCCACAGCUCUAAGUAUGAAGACUCUUAACUCCCAUUGACCCAUUUUUUUGAUCAACGAACCA